AAUCGAUUGAUCCGAGUCCGAUGUGAAAUCCCAAUGGAAAACUCUUUUCCAUUAUUUCACUCUACCAUGGCCAUGGGCUUAAGGACUCGAUCUUUCGAUCAUCAUAGGACUACUUCUCUCAUCUACCGAGGUUGAUAGAUCCCUUCUUGGUGCGAUCUGGUUCCUACAAUGAAUAUGCUACAACCAACAUACAUCUUAGGAUUUCGAAUGGCUAGG
rnacentral:lncRNA from 1 species